rfam:Populus trichocarpa scaffold_15_contig_36, whole genome shotgun sequence.
UCUAGAACUCGAGAUAUGACCUGAACACUGAACAAUGUAUGGGCUGCAAGACAGAUUCAGACUUCUCUUUUGAUGCUAAGAUUUGGAUUUCCAAAAAGCAGAAUUGAGUCUUUGACUCUGCCUGAAUGUUUUAGGCCUAUGUCUUAGCUUUCUAGC